AACAGUUUACUUCAUCCUGAUACCUUUGCUUGCUAUUGAAAUACGUUUCCCAGAUUCCGUCUCUGUAGCAUCUCUCUAGCAUAAGUUCUUCAGCAGCUAGCUAAUGUUAUAACUUCCAGUAGUCCACAUUAACACCCAUUUCUCAUUAUGACAUAUAUUAGCCCUUGUCAUUAGACUUAUAAAGUCCCUAAAUGCAUAUUUCCCCCAUUUGAAGACUGUCCCAGAUUACCCAAAGCAUGCUGUCCCACAUUUUCAAUCAUAUUUGAUAAUGUGGCACAACAAAAAAUGUUUAAAAAAAACAACAAAAACAAACACAUUUUCAACACUUUAAUACAUAUUUUGUUGCUUGAAUAGAUCACAAACAUGAUUUGACAACAAUUAGGAACGUUGUCUUAUUUAUGACAGAUUUAUGUCCUUAACAUUAAUCUAGUCGGAAUCCUAUGUCAUUGUUGACCUUGUCAUGCAAUUCCCAGGGGAGCUUCUUGAUUGACAAGUGCCCUGCCCCUUUCUGUGGAAUCACCCCAAUGAAGUCAUUUGAUUUCAGUCACAUGACAUACAUGCCAAAAUUAUAGUAAAUAAGUUUUGUUAGAACAGGAAACAAACACACUGGAUCUUAGGUAUCCCAGAUUACCUGAAUUCACCCUACAUCAGAACGAAAAAUCAAAUUUUUCAAACUAAAUGCAAUUUUAAUCCUGUCCAGUUGACCUACUGGUAAUGUAAGUAAGUAAUGAUAACCUCAAUAAAUGAGAAAUUUGCAUCUGAAUAAUACCUGAUGUAUUAAUUACAUCUCCCAUACAUUUUUUAAUUCAUAAUGAAACUCAAAUAAUAAAGGCCAAUCCAAAAAAAUCUAAAUAAUCAUAUAGUCCUUCUUAAAAAGAGUCAGACAAGUCCACCUCCAAGCAUUCUUGAAGAAAAAGUGCAUUAUAGAAGACACAAGGCCACUGUGUGUGAUAAAAUCAGUUUGAAAGAAACAAAGAGCUUGUGUAUGUCUAUAUAUACUUAUGCAAUUUUGUUUGACUUAUUCCAAAGAAAUCAAAUUGUAAUACUGCAUGUUUACAUGAAUUUGAAUAACGUUCUUAUAUUAUAAAGCAUACGUACAUCACAGAGAUGUCAAUUUGACGUCUGUAUGUACAUCUGGAAAAUGUAUUUUUUAGAGUUUGCUCAUCUGCAAUACGUCUAUAUGACGUUUCCUUUUAAAGGGAUAUGUAAAUUAUACGUCUAUUAGAUGUCUUUAAGAUGUUUAUGAUUUAGAAUGUAUGUAAAACUGACAUCUUACAGACUUCUGUCAGAUGUUUGUACCUGUUUGUAUCUGGGAUAUGUUUCAUGACUGAAGAUCAUAUUUGUUACUUAUAAUGUUCUAUGGUUCUGUAUAAUAUCUCUUUACAGAAUUGACAGUUUUACUUGAUUUACCUUUUCUUUCUCCUUGUUUCCUUCCUGUAUUUAUCUCCUUCCAGUUCAUGUAUCAGUUGGAUAUCGUCAUGGGCGUCGCUAGGCCAUUUUUAGGGGGGCUUUAGCACCCCUAAAUUUCUGCUCAGCCCCCCUAAAAAUCUUGCGAUUCUUUCCCUUUAAAUUUCAAAUGAAAACGGCAGCAGACUUCGGCUCCUCCCCAUCUUUCUGCGUGUUCUUCAAUCCACAGACUGCGGUGGCGCAGAGGAGAGGACAAGGAUCUGUGAUGUCUGCCAGGCUGCGGGUAAUAAUAGACAGUGAAAUCCACAAGAUUGUCUUGCCUAAUGGAAUCCCUCAAUCUGUACCUGAACUGAAGUUACAUUUUACAGGAAACAUUCAGACUUGACAGAGAUUUCAGCAUUCAUUUUAUGAACUUUGAUUUCAUUUCUUGUCAUCAAUGGGGAAAAAACCUGGUUCUCAAAAUCAAAGACAAGGACACAAUCAAAGUUGUCUUCGAAAGAACCACAGCCUGUAGUGACGUUAACUCUUCAGCAGUGUGUCAGUACCAUUUACCAGCAAAGCGAUGAUUCUUCAACUCCAGCUGCACCAAAGGAAGACACCAGCUCUGCAGGAUCCCAAGACACAGUCAUCUUAUCCUCACCUGUUGAGUACAUAAUCUUCUUCCCUGUGUUGCCAUGCUUGGCCCACUGAAUUUGAGAUACCUAGCUUUGCAUACAACACAGAGCUCAUUCUAAUAGAAAGUGGAAAUAGAAAGUGGAACCUGAUAAAGGAAUACAGGGUAAAAUAAUGUACUGUACAUACAUUUUACUCAUGUAGGUCUUGUCUGUUUUGUGUGUGUGUGUGCAAAUGUCACAGUUUACCUUUCACUUCUUUUUUUCUGUUUUCUCCAGGUUCAUUAUUUGUUUAAAAACACAAAUUAUGUUAAAGGGAUUAUUUUGUGUUCUGAAGAUGAACGAAGGUCUUGCGGGUUUGGAACGACAUGAGAGGGGAGAAAUUAAUGACAGAAUUUUCAUUUUUGGGUGAGCUAUCCCUUUAAUUAACUAUUGUGAUCUUAAAAUAAGACCACUUUACUUAAAAGAUUAGUUCACUUUCAGAACAAAAAUUUACAGAUAAUGUACUCACCUCACAUCUCAUCCAAGAUGUUCAUGUCUUUCUUUCUUCAGUUGUAAAGAAAUCAUUUCAGCAUUUCUUUCCAUAUAAUGGACUUUUACGGUGCCCCCGAGUUUGAACUUCCAAAAUGCAAAAUGAACUUCAAAGGGCUCUAAAUGAUCCCAUCCAAGGAAGAAGGGUUACUGAACAAGCACCCACCAUGGAGGAGAUUGUUAUCAUUGGAUUGUCAGAAGUCAAUGGGGAGCUGCUCUUCCUCACAAAUGACUUCAAAGAAUUCACUGGAUCGUCUGAGCUUUUCCAAGGACCUACUGAAGAGCUCAUCUCUCAGUUGCCAAUGAAUUUGGAAGUCACCCACAAAGGUCGUACCAUUGUGGAAUUCAGGCACUUGACAUCUAAUAAUGAAAUGUAGGCUAAUUUUAGUUUGUUGUGACAGUACUGGCAUGCCAAACAGAAACAGGAAACCGUGUUAUUGAUACACAGUUUCAUGAGAUCAAGUAGGAGCCAUCAAAAGAAGUAUUCAGCCACAGGGUAGGCCUCUGGCCAAUCAUUUCUGUCCUUUUCCUAAUUUCAUACUUUGUAACAGUAUUGCUUAAGUUCUCAGCUGAAGUUGGAUGUUUCUCAAUUUAGGGCAGUUUAAAGAUUAAUCGCAUCCAAAAUAAAAGUUUGUACUUGCAUAACCCCUACACAUGCAUGCAUUUACAAAUUUAUUUACAUUUAAAAUAUAUAUAUUUUUAAAAUAUUAAUAUCAAUAAAUGUUUAUAUAAAAUAGAAAUUAUAUACAUAUAUAAAAAUUACAUGUACAUUUAAGAAAGAUUUACAUGCAUGUAUACAUGUUUAUAAAUAUAAAUAAUAUAUACAAAGUACACGCAUAUAUUCACACGUAAACAGGCUUUUAUUUUGAAUGCAGUUAAUUGUUAAA